GUACAACGAGUCGCAAGUCGGUGACGGCAAGCUAAUCUCUUAAAGCCAGUCUCAGUUCGGAUUGUAGGCUGCAACUCGCCUACAUGAAGUCGGAAUCGCUAGUAAUCGCGGAUCAGCACGCCGCGGUGAAUACGUUCCCGGGCCUUGUACACACCGCCCGUCACACCACGAGAGUUUGUAACACCCGAAGUCGGUGAGGUAACCAUUUGGAGCCAGCCGCCUAAGGUGGGAUAGAUGAUUGGGGUGAAGUCGUAACAAGGUAGCCGUAUCGGAAGGUGCGGCUGGAUCACCUCCUUUCUAAGGA
rnacentral:rRNA from 1 species